rnacentral:rRNA from 1 species
CUUCGGACUGGCUCAGGGAGGUCGGCAACGACCACCCAGAGCCGGAAAGUUGGUCAAACUCGGUCAUUUAGAGGAAGUAAAAGUCGUAACAAGGUCUCCGUAGGUGAACCUGCGGAGGGAUCAUUA